rnacentral:rRNA from 1 species
UACGGAGGGAGCAAACGUUGAUCGGAAUCAUUGGGCGUAAAGCGCACGUAGGCGGUCCGGUAAGUCGGAUGUGAAAGCCCUCGGCUCAACCGAGGAAGUGCAUUCGAAACUGCCGGACUUGAGUACGGGAGAGGGAUGCGGAAUUCCCGGUGUAGAAGUGAAAUUCGUAGAUAUCGGGAGGAACACCAGUGGCGAAGGCGGCAUCCUGGACCGAUACUGACGCUGAGGUGCGAAAGCGUGGGGAGCAUACAGG